rnacentral:rRNA from 1 species
AGUGAACGCUGGCGGUAGGCCUAACACAUGCAAGUCGAACGGCAGCACAGUAAGAGCUUGCUCUUACGGGUGGCGAGUGGCGGACGGGUGAGGAAUACAUCGGAAUCUACUUUUUCGUGGGGGAUAACGUAGGGAAACUUACGCUAAUACCGCAUACGACCUACGGGUGAAAGCAGGGGAUCUUCGGACCUUGCGCGAUUGAAUGAGCCGGUGUCGGAUUAGCUAGUUGGCGGGGUAAAGGCCCACCAAGGCGACGAUCCGUAGCUGGUCUGAGAGGAUGAUCAGCCACACUGGAACUGCGACACGGUCCAGACUCCUACGGGAGGCAGCAGUGGGGAAUAUUGGACAAUGGGCGCAAGCCUGAUCCAGCCAUACCGCGUGGGUGCAGAAGGCCUUCGGGUUGUAAAGCCCUUUUGUUGGGAAAGAAAAGCAGCAGGUUAAUACCCCGCUGUUCUGACGGUACCCAAAGAAUAAGCACCGGCUAACUUCGUG